UAGGGAAUUUUCGUCAAUGGGCGCAAGCCUGAACGAGCAAUGCCGCGUGAACGAGGAAGGUCUUCGGAUCGUAAAGUUCUGUUGAAGGGGAAAAAGAGCGGAGAGAGGAAAUGGUCUCCGAUUGAUAUUACCCUUCGAGGAAGUCACGGCUAACUACGUGCCAGCAGCCGCGUAAUCUGCUCU
rnacentral:rRNA from 1 species